AUUCCAUGAUGGGGACAUUCUAGGAUGUAGUCUUGAAAGCGCUCCCAUGCUUAUGGAACAGAUUCAUCAUUUUGUUGCUGAAAAGUCGUAAUCUUCCCACGGAGAGC
rnacentral:snoRNA from 1 species